GUGCUCUUAUCUGCAGCACAUUUACGAACAUUGGAACAACACAGAGAAGAUUAGCAUGGCCCUUGUGCAAGGAUAACACAAAAAUUUGUGAAGUGGUCCAUAUUUUU